GCUUUAUCCUGAGUGUGUCUUCUGCUCUGGUCUCCCGUCAGCCCUUCCAACUCCUACAGGUUUCAAUCACAGACUGGUGGCCAGAACACCCACCCGGGCCCGGGCCUUGGCUUUUCCUCGUAUGUACAUCCGGGUCUGGUCUAUGCUUCUCCCAGUGGAGACAAACUUUUCCUCAGAAUCCCUGUGGGAAGAUUUCCUUCACAUCUGAUUGACCAGAAUUGGAUCACAUACCUAUGCCUGGAACCGCUAUUGAAACGGGAAAGAAGAUCAGCAGUUUAAUCUGGCCUGCUCCAGGAUUUGGGGUGGGAAAAGGAUGUUGCCUCCACUGAAACAUAUGGGCGAACUGGGAAGAGGACUUAUAAAUAAAAUAGGAUUCUGUUAGGAAGAGGGGAAGGGGAGAAUGGAAGCUAAAUAUACAGCUACAGUGUCCACUGCAUUAGCUGUGUGAUUUAUUUUUGUUUUGUUGUUCUUUUUGGUACUGGAACUUGAACUAAGGACCUUGUGCUUGCCAAGUUGCUGUGCCCCUGAGCUAUAUCCCUGGCCCUAACUGUUGAUUUAAGGAAAGUCUUUAAACAUUUCUGAUCCUCAGUUGCAAGAAAAUGAGCACAAUACUCUUCUCAUGUGAGAAUUAAAAAUAUUUUAUGUACAAUAAUUGAAUAAGAAAACAUGUAUAAAAGCAUCCAGAACAUUCCAUGACACAUUAUUGUUUAUCUCAGUGGUUCUCAAAUAGUGUUAUGGGCUAAACUGUGUACCCCUACCUUUAUAUCUCCCAACUCAUAUUUGAACUCCUAACCCCUAAUUCCUCAGAAUAUAACUAUCUGAAGAUAGUGUCUUAAAAGAAGCAAUUAGAUUAAAAUGAGAAACUAUAAUUAGUGUGGGCCUUAAUGCAAUAUGACUGAUGUCCUUAUAACAAGAGUAAAUCAUGACAUAGACACACAGAAAGAAGAUAGCAAUCUGUAAGACAAUGAAUGAGGUCUUGGAAGAAACCAAGCCCUCUAACAUCUUGAUAUUGAACUUCUAGCUUCCAAAACUGUGAAAAAGUAGAUCGCUAUUGUUUAAGGCACUCAGAUUGUGGUGAGUUGUUGUGGCAGCCCUAAUAUAUUUGGGAACUUGUUAGAAAUACGAUCUUUAGUGCCAUCCCAGACCUACUGAGAAAGUCUGACAGUGAAGCCCAUUAAUCUGUUUUAAAAACUCUAGGAAAUUUUCAUGCACUCAAGAGCUGGGCUAGUUAUUAAGGCUAUGGGAACACAGUUAGCCUUUAUAGCCUAACUAGGUUCAUAUCCCAGCUCUCUACCACUAGCUACGUAUGUAAUUUGGGGUAUUUAAGAAAAAUCUAUUUUAAUUUCCUCAUUUAUAAAAAUGGGGCUAACCCUAAUCCUUAUCCCUUAGGUUGUUGUGCUGUUAAAUUCAUCCAUCUAGGUAGAACUUAGAACAGAGCUGAGUGCAUAGUUAAUGCUCUACAAAUGUGACCUGUUAAGAUAACAUGUAAAUGUUGAAUCUGAACCUCCUAAGGGCUUUAGUUUGUAAAAACAGCUAAGCUUAUUGGAAUUAUUUGUAAACAAGGAUCUGAGUAUUUCCUUUAGUAAAGUUGAAUAUUCUAACCCUUA